ACAGAAGUGAAAUGUCUCACUCUGUAGCCAAAACAGAGAGCUCAACACACAGUGGAAAAAGAGGAGCUGCAGGAAUGUGUGGUACCAAAAUAUGGUGUUUUUUUUCAAAUAAACCAUGUAAACCUGUUCUGAUAUAACAUCUAAAUACAAUUGCGAACCUGAAAAUGGGCAUAAUAUGAGCAGUUUAAUAUUUUGGGAGCAUU